AGAGUUUGAUCAUGGCUCAGAGUGAACGCUGGCGGUAGGCCUAACACAUGCAAGUCGAACGGCAGCACAGAGGAGCUUGCUCCUUGGGUGGCGAGUGGCGGACGGGUGAGGAAUACAUCGGAAUCUACUCUGUCGUGGGGGAUAACGUAGGGAAACUUACGCUAAUACCGCAUACGACCUACGGGUGAAAGCAGGGGAUCUUCGGACCUUGCGCGAUUGAAUGAGCCGAUGUCGGAUUAGCUAGUUGGCGGGGUAAAGGCCCACCAAGGCGACGAUCCGUAGCUGGUCUGAGAGGAUGAUCAGCCACACUGGAACUGAGACACGGUCCAGACUCCUACGGGAGGCAGCAGUGGGGAAUAUUGGACAAUGGGCGCAAGCCUGAUCCAGCCAUACCGCGUGGGUGAAGAAGGCCUUCGGGUUGUAAAGCCCUUUUGUUGGGAAAGAAAUCCAGCCGGCUAAUACCUGGUUGGGAUGACGGUACCCAAAGAGUAAGCACCGGCUAACUUCGUGCCAGCAGCCGCGGUAAUUC
rnacentral:rRNA from 2 species